AACGACACUGUAACUAUCCGCACUAGAAAGUUCAUGACCAACCGACUCCUUCAGAGGAAACAAAUGGUCAUUGAUGUCCUUCACCCCGGGAAGGCAACAGUGCCUAAGACAGAAAUUCGGGAAAAACUAGCCAAAAUGUACAAGACCACACCGGAUGUCAUCUUUGUAUUUGGAUUCAGAACUCAUUUUGGUGGUGGCAAGACAACUGGCUUUGGCAUGAUUUAUGAUUCCCUGGAUUAUGCAAAGAAAAAUGAACCCAAACAUAGACUUGCAAGACAUGGCCUGUAUGAGAAGAAAAAGACCUCAAGAAAGCAACGAAAGGAACGCAAGAACAGAAUGAAGAAAGUCAGGGGGACUGCAAAGGCCAAUGUUGGUGCUGGCAAAAAGGCCCCCUUGGAGCGGGGAAGGAGAGCUCUUCAGUUCCUUUGGCACCUUCACGCAGCAUGCAAGACGGGCUGCUUUUUCUUCUGUUUAUGGAUGAGGCACAGAGAGGGUAGAUGACUUGCCCCAAGUCCUUCAACUCAUUCAUGCUGGGGAAAGGAGUGAGCUUCAGGCGUCUUCCCCUGGAGUUCACGCCACUUCUGACAGCAAGUGAGCCGUUUGCUACUCAAGUGCUGUUUCUUGCAUUUUUAAGAUGAGGGAAUUGGGGCUUGGAGUGCAAGCAUUGGGAAGAAUUUCCCAGGAAGAGAGAUGCACAGAUGUGAAGAACUCGAAGGCAAGAGAAAGCCGGGGGGUUGUGUGGCAGGUAGAAGUGCCAGGACCAUGGAGCGUGUGGACAUG
rnacentral:sRNA from 1 species